GAGGAGUGGGAAAUAAUCAGACUGGGGAAAGCCGAGAAGAACGAGGAAGGAAGGAGCAGCCGCCAGAAACGAGCCACGGUCCCCUCACCCCAACUCUCAAGGAAAAAGAGCCCCCGAUUGCCAACUGCAAAUUCCAGCAAGGCGCUCGUGCUGCGGGUAGAUCAUGGGGAGAAGUGUCUCUCUGGGCAGCUGCCCCCCAGACAGGGUCCUCUCCGCGCACAGACACUGCUGCAAAAAGCCAAUUGAUUAGUUUACGCAGAGCCGUAGGUAGCCGCUCUCCAUCACACCUGGAUGUCCCAACGUGAAAGCUCGGGAAGCCCCAGCCUGGGUGACUUGAACAAGGUGGCUCCUCUCCCCUCGCAUUUCUUCGCUCUCUUUGAUCCCUUUGCACCACGAGCGGCCCCCCCCCUUUUUUUUUUUAUUGUUGUGCUGCAACUCAAGCUUUCAAUCUUCCCCAGGAUCCAACAACCUCCUGCUCGCUUCCAGCUUUAAAAGGAGGCAAAGCAAAUCGCUGGGAAGAGACCCGGAAUCACUUGGGUAACAACGGCACAUUUUGCAUUCUGUCACCGAGCAAGGCAUCAAAAGCGAAGAGGAGGAUUUAACUCCUUAACGGCCGCAAGAUUUUUCGGUCUGGCUUUGGGCUUGUGUGUGUGUGUGCUCGAGAAGAAAAUCAUGCCCGAUGCUGACUGGAUCCGGGAAGAGAAUACAACUCAGCUGACAUCUUUACACGACAGAGGCAGCAAGAAGAAGAAGACAACCUAGGUGCUUAUUUCAAGCUUUUCUUCUUACUGUGCCAGAAUAUGGAAUGUAACCAGCUCCAUCUUUAUGCUUUCUCUUCUUUAUUUGCCAAGAACCACACCCUGCCUGGAAUUCUAAACAGCGCACAGAGACAUCUAGUGACGGGAUACUAAAGCUUAUGCUCAAAUAAAUUGGUCAGUCUCUAAGUUGCCACGCUCCUUUUCUUUUUGCGAAUACAGACUAAUACUGCUGCUACUCUGAAACCUUUAAUGGGCUACUCAUCCCUUGCUUCUGCCCUUCCCCCUCUUCCAAUGGAACCAAGCACUAACGGGGGAAAAGUCAGGUUCCAAAAAGCUCUACAACAGAGGAAUGCUCUCUAAUUAUCAGACCCUCAUCAAACAGAAGUGAUGUCCGUCAGAAGAGAGCAACAGGUCAGAAUCAGAAUGUUCUGUGGCAAAAUCUCACUCUGUAGAUGGGAAGGAGAAAAGAGAGACCAGCAGGUAGCGGGGCUGGAUAUCACACUGCCAGACAUUUGCAUGGAUUUGAAGACCAUGCUGUCUGUUAAAGCUGAUGGAGCCCAAGGAGUUACAGAGGUUUAAUGCGCAACAUACGGAAGAUGAUGGGUGCCAGAGAGAGAAAGAGAUGAAGCUGCAGUGUCUCCCAUAAUUACACCUGUGUAUACCAGGUACUGUAAACUAGAGCAGAAUUUGUCCCAUUCAAUUAAAUUAGAGAUCAUGAUAUUAUGCCCUCCAUAUACACUUGUAUCUUGGAUUAAAUUCAAGUUGAUUGAAUAAAAGGAGAAUGAGAUAAAAUGUAAUGUAUAGGUGGGCACUGGCCUGAUCUCUUUGGUUCAGGACCAAAGUAUUACUGUUCAUAUUGAAGAAACACCAUAGUGAGCAUGAUGGUGCUGAUGAUUGAUUUAAUGAUACUGGAGGUAUCAUCUUUCAGAGGAUAUAUAUAAAAAAAGUCCUCGACUUCUUUGGUCAUUGAGGAUUCUAUGACAAAGGCUGUUAGCCCCAGUCUCCUGACUGGAUUACGUCUCAGAAAAUUAGAGUUACUAUUCUCAUUAAUAGAUUGCAAGGCCAGAAGGGACCACUGUGAUCAUCUAGUCAGACUCCUGUAUAAUGAAGGCCACAGAACUUCCCCAAAGUAAUUCCUAGAGCUUAGAAAAAAAUUCAAUCUUAAUUUAAAUAUUACAGUAAAGGAGAAUCCCCACCAUGACCCGGGGUAAAUUGUUCCAAUAGCUAAUUACCCUCACUUAAAAAUUUAUGCCUUAUUUCCUGUCUGAAUUUGUCGAGCUUCAGUUUUCAGCCAUUCCAUUCCAGCUGGAUUGAAAAGCCCAUUAUCAAAUUGAAGAGUUCAUUGUAGUUACUAUCCUUCUACUCCUAAAAACUCUGCGUGCCAUUUCUGCACACAAUGGCAAUGUAUUUUAUCAGUGGGUGAAGAGAAUCCUGUAUGUACAAUCAUUGGGAUCAAAAGUAUUUAAUAAAUAAGAAAUUAUUAUAAAUAUAGUUUAACUUUUCUAGGCUAAAUUCCAUGAUCCAUGUAUGGCCUUCCUCCUCUUUAAUUUUAUCUGGCUCCAAUCUUUACUGCAGAUGAGGAAGAGAGAAGCAGCUAUGUUAUGGGCUAUGGAGUAGAUGCUGAGGCUAUGCUAAGGGAGAGGAAAACAUCUGUAUCUCUUCAGGUGGGCACUACCACAGCAUAGGGUAUUUACCAGAGUCUGUGUCAGAGUGCAGUGCAGUAAUCCUCAGCUAGUGGAUGGUUCCUUUGGGACUGUAGCUAGUGGUUGUAGGUUAGAAGUUAGGUUCCUUGAAUGCCAUGGUUGGAGCUCAGGUAGAAUUAGGCAGAGAAGCAGGGAGCCAUAACUGGCUCUUCUUAGGCUCUCCUCUGUUGGCUGAGCAGAUCUCUGUCACCUCAGAGAAUCGGGCCCCUUCUUUACUCUGGAUGAAGUCCAGGUCCCAUUGGGUAUGUCUACACUGCACUACUCUGAUUCAGGUUUCAGCCCAAGCCCCCUUCCAUCCACACACAAAUCAGUCUGACUCGGAUCAACAAGCACUUAUGACCUAGGACCCUGCUAGGGACAUGGGUCAGAGCCCGAGUCCUGCUCUGACUUGGGUCUAAGCUCUGCCAUUUUUCAGUGUGGAUGUAGAUCAAAUCGCAGACCUGACUCAAAAAGCCUGCAGUAUGGAAGCAUGAGCAUGGCCAGACCUAGGUCUGGUAAUGGAAAAUUGUGGUUUACAAUGCAGUGUGGAUACUCAAGCAUGGGCUUGGAAACACCAAGUCCACAAGCUCAUAUCCCAAAGAUCUGGGCUGACCAUAGAGUAUAGACCUACCCAUUGAAGACAAUGGUAAAAUUCAUAAUGACUUCAAUGGAUUCAUGGUUUUACCUUCAGGCUGUUGUGGUAUGUGUACACUGCAUUGUAAACCCAGGACUGUGAGAACUGGGCUUGUGGUCUCAGUGUUUCUAAGAGAUUUUUGGUAUGAAAAGAAGCACACAUUACAUUAUCUGCAGCACAUAUUGUGUGGCAUAACACACACAUAAUUGAGUUCUGGGCAUCAUUAGCUUAAUGAAAACUGUGAUUAUUGGCUCAAACCUACAGGCCAUUGUUGUAUAUGGCGAGGGGUGGAGGGGCCCGCAGUGGAGGGGGAGCAGAUGACAUAAGACAGAAAAUAGUUCUCUAGUUAAAAAUUAGUUGCCUAGGCUAAAAAUAUGAUCAAAUGAGGUCUACAGUAUUUUAUAAAGAGCUAAGAGAUAGCAGCACUUAAAGCAGUGCAAAAUUUGCAUAUUGUUAAUUUCUAUUCAUGUUUUUACAUGCACUUGCUUUCUGUAUGCUUGUCAGUCCAAUGCACUGGUACAAUCCUCACAUUUUCAGAUCUAGGCUCUCGUCAAACUACAGCUGAAAGCGUACUAAAGACAACUGUGUUUAACCAUGGUUGUUGCUAGCCAUACUUUGAUGAUAAAUCUGGGCGAGCCACAGCAGUGUAACUAUAGUGGGGACAGAGCCUUACACUAUAUCUUCUUUCUACAUUUAAAAAUAAAAUUGAAAGAUUAUUUUUUCUCCAAGUCAGAUUCAAGGAUUAAAUAUUCCUUUAGCUGAAGCCGUAAUGUCGGGAGACCCAUUUUCAGUACUCUCUCUCUCUCUCCCACUCAGAUGCUGGCAGCAGAGGCCAGUAGCACUAUUAUAGAUGCUCUGCUCCAUUGCACUGAGAGGGGAAGGAGAGCAUCACAUCACUCUGCAACUUCACCUACAGGCUGUUUGAAGAACAAACAGCGAAUUAGAAGACCGAAGAAGUCCUUUAACCUUCUGACCCCUGCACAGCUCUGUUAGCUAGUAGUUUUUUUAUGCAUAGUGGUCAAUGCUAAAUCCCAGAUUAGAAUUUGGAUAUUACCUAUUUAAGGGCUUGAUCCUGCAGUUUGUACUCAUGUGAGUAAUCCUACAUGCAUGAGAAGUCUCACUGACUCACAUGCAUAGGAAUUACUCAUGUGAGUAAGAGUUGGGGUCUUAAUGGAAUCUAUUCUCCCUCCAGUGCAUGCAUUUAAGUCUCAUUUGUGCUCAUGGGAGCUAUGCAUAUUCAACAAGGGGAGAAUAGAUUCCCUUAAUCUGAUGAAAUGCAAGGAAUUUGAUUGUCAUGUUUGAUUUAAUGAUACGUUGUUGAGGGUAGAAUGGGCUGUAAUGUUCAAAUUAUUCUAUGGAUUUAGCCCUUUUGUCUGUGUGAAUUUUCCAGGAACAGAUCAUAUUUUUUACAUAUUUGUUCUUGGUUCCAAAGUUGAUUGCUGAAUUUUUAUACAAACAAAUUUCAGCCUGGCAGCUGUUUGUGAACUUGUGCUAUGACUGCUUCUUUGAGAAUUCUGUGUCCCAAAUAAGAAGAACUGUUGUGGUAGAUGUCUCAGCCUAUAUACUAUAGAAUUUCAUGGACCCAAGUCAUCACUGCAUUACUCCAGUUUUAUGUCAUAGUAAGUUCACUGAAUGGAGUUACAAGUGUAAAACUGGAGUAAUGUUGUGAUGGAUCAGGCCCAGUGUCCAUUGGUGUGGUGACUGUCUUUCCCACAUACAAUAAUAUACUGUAUCUACCAUGCACAUUCAUUGAAUUUGCCAGUCUACAUUUCCUGAAAGAAGCCCUUUAAUGAACACUUGAAGUUCAGUGGGUUUCAUGCGAAUAUUUGUUACGUGUUGGAAUAUCUACCUGUUGGAAAAGUGUAGAAUAUUACACAAUAAAUAUAAGAAAACUG